AUUCUCUUAGUAUAAUAAGUAUAAUUGACUUCCAAUCAAAAGGUUAAAUCUUAAGAGAAUA
rnacentral:tRNA from 2 species